AUGAUGGUGCUGGACGUUCCGCUUAAGACACUUGCGGCAAUGACCAAGGUCUGCAGGGGGUUGUUAUGGUGCGGCAAGGCUCAGGCCAAAGGUGGAAAAUGUGUGGUGGCAUGGGAUACCAUGUGCACCCCCAAGUGGGCGGGAGGCCUAGGAAUCCCCAACCUCAGAUGGUUGAACAUAGAAAUGGGAUUAAUGGAGGAGCAGUUACUGGAGUUUUUCACUCAAUGGGAUCGCGUCGCCACGGUGAACCUUGAGGGCACGGACAUGGUCCAGUGGGCCUGGGAGUAG
rnacentral:rRNA from 1 species